GGCCGGGCCCAGGGCCGUACGGCGGAGUGCACUUUGACCCGUUGUGCAACCGCCGGUGAGGAAGUAAAUAAAGCGCAGAUCCAACCCGCUGUCUUUUGCCGGCUGCUCUUUCUAAAGGUGCUGCCCUCCACUCACUCAUCUUCAACAAACAAACAAACAAAAACAUAAUGAAAUGAAGCAUAAAUGAAGGAAUCGAAGAGAAAUCUUCAUCUUGCUUGGUUUUGGCCAGUCCCAAGAACAGCCUAGUGAUGUAUGUUGCCCUGUGAUUUGGUUUGCACUAGCAAGAACUGGACACCAGGAUCUUGGUUCAGCCCUAUUCAGGCCUCAGUCCCAGUGAGCAACCGUCUCCGAGCUGAGACGCUGGAAAUCUAACAAGAGAAAGACUGCACGUUUGUCCGCAGGAGAAAGCAGGGAGGAAGGCGUGCGUUCCUUGUGCAGCCGAGGUCAGAGGGCACCUGCAGAGCCGCGCUGCGCGGGAAGCGGAGCUUUGUGACGGGCAGCUGAACCCGCGGGCUGCAGACGGCGUCCUUCGUACGGCUGACCGCAGACGUGUAACCGAGGGACGGCCGUGCGCGGCCCCACCGAACGUCUCCGCGCUUCACAACGGCUCCCGCCGUACCCCGUCCAGCUGCCGCUUUUGAACCCUGCUCGUCUGAGUCACUCACGUCGCCGAGAUGCGCGCACUCCGACCCGCCGGCCCCGAUCCGACCCACCCACCGCCUUCACCUCCUGCAGCUGCCUGCCAGAUGUCCGCGCUGACCGCAGAUGGCCGAGGGGCUGCGAGAGUCCCCGGAGAGCAGCGCUGAGGGCUCCCGGCCCGGCUGCGGCCCGCCCGCCCGCCUGCGUGUGGGACCCCGCGCCCACCGGCCUCGUGCCGAACAAAGCGCGGAGCUGCGCGCCCUGCGCCUGCGGCACCGCUCCCACACCGCUCCCACACCGCCACAACGCUGCCGUGGCACCGCCACCACACCGCUGCAAAGCUGCCACAACACCGCCACGGCACCACGGGCGCAGACAGCGGCGGGAGGGCUCGGGGCCGCCUGAGGCGCGGCGGGGGAGCGCCGCGGUGAGGCGGGAGGGGCUUCCAGCGCGGGAAAGCUGCCCUCAGGCGGAGCCGGGCUGCGGGGGAAGCUGAGGCGAUCCCCCGGCCGCGCUCCGCGACAAACCCUCCCGGCUCGGCCCUGUCACGGCGCGGCUCCGCCCCGCCACCCUCGG
ensembl:lncRNA